GAUGAACGCUGGCGGCGUGCUUAACACAUGCAAGUCGAACGAACCUUCGGGUUAGUGGCGGACGGGUGAGUAACGCGUGAGAAUCUGCCCUCAGGAGGGGGACAACAGCUGGAAACGGCUGCUAAUACCCCAUAUGCCGCGAGGUGAAAUGAAUUUCGCCUGAGGAUGAGCUCGCGUCUGAUUAGCUAGUUGGUGUAGGUAAUGGCUCACCAAGGCAUCGAUCAGUAGCUGGUCUGAGAGGGUGAUCAGCCACAUUGGGACUGAGACACGGCCCAAACUCCUACGGGAGGCAGCAGUGGGGAAUCUUGCACAAUGGAGGAAACUCUGAUGCAGCGAUGCCGCGUGAGUGAAGAAGGCCUUUGGGUUGUAAAGCUCUUUCGUCGGGGAAGAAAAUGACUGUACCCGAAUAAGAAGGUCCGGCUAACUUCGUGCCAAAAGG
rnacentral:rRNA from 1 species